GGGCACAUGGUGUAGUUGGUUAUCACAUCCGCUUAGCAUUGUUCAAAUCUUGCAUGCGGGGGGUGCUGGGUUCAAUUCCCAGUGUGUCCA